rnacentral:rRNA from 1 species
AGAGUUUGAUCCUGGCUCAGGAUGAACGCUGGCGGCGUGCCUAACACAUGCAAGUCGAGCGAGAAGCUCGUAAGCUGAUCUUCGGAAAGGCGAGCGAGCGGAAAGCGGCGGACGGGUGAGUAACGCGUAGGCAACCUGCCCCAUACAGAGGGAUACCUUCGGGAAACCGGGAUUAAAACCUCAUAAUGCCAUUUGAUCACAUGGUCGGAUGGCCAAAGAUUCAUCGGUAUGGGAUGGGCCUGCGUCUGAUUAGCUAGUUGGUGAGGUAACGGCUCACCAAGGCGACGAUCAGUAGCAGAACUGAGAGGUUCAUCUGCCACAUUGGAACUGAGACACGGUCCAAACUCCUACGGGAGGCAGCAGUGAGGAAUAUUGCACAAUGGGCGAAAGCCUGAUGCAGCAACGCCGCGUGAGUGAUGAAGGCCUUUGGGUCGUAAAACUCUGUCCUUGGGGAAGAAAAAAAUGACGGUACCCUUGGAGGAAGCCCCGGCUAACUACGUGCCAGCAGCCGCGGUAAUACGUAGGGGGCAAGCGUUAUCCGGAAUUAUUGGGCGUAAAGAGUGCGUAGGUGGUUUUGUAAGCGUAGGGUGAAAGGCAGUAGCUCAACUAUUGUUAGCCCUGCGAACUGUGAGACUUGAGUGCAGGAGAGGAAAGUGGAAUUCCUAGUGUAGCGGUGAAAUGCGUAGAUAUUAGGAGGAACACCAGUGGCGAAGGCGACUUUCUGGACUGUAACUGACACUGAGGCACGAAAGCGUGGGUAGCAAACAGGAUUAGAUACCCUGGUAGUCCACGC